rnacentral:rRNA from 1 species
AACAGGAUUAGAUACCCUGGUAGUCCACGCUGUAAACGGUGGGUACUAGGCGUAGGGUCCAUUCCACGGGUUCCGUGCCGUAGCUAACGCUUUAAGUACCCCGCCUGGGGAGUACGGCCGCAAGGCUAAAACUCAAAGGAAUUGACGGGGCCCCGCACAAGCGGCGGAGCAUGCGGAUUAAUUCGAUGCAACGCGUAGAACCUUACCUGGGUUUGACAUGGAUCGGGAGCGCUCAGAGAUGGGUGUGCCUCUUUUGGGGUCGGUUCACAGGUGGUGCAUGGCUGUCGUCAGCUCGUGUCGUGAGAUGUUGGGUUAAGUCCCGCAACGAGCGCAACCCUUGUUCACUGUUGCCAGCACGUUAUGGUGGGGACUCAGUGGAGACCGCCGGGGUCAACUCGGAGGAAGGUGGGGAUGACGUCAAGUCAUCAUGCCCCUUAUGUCCAGGGCUUCACGCAUGCUACAAUGGCUGGUACAGAGAGUGGCGAGCCUGUGAGGGUGAGCGAAUCUCGGAAAGCCGGUCUCAGUUCGGAUUGGGGUCUGCAACUCGACCUCAUGAAGUCGGAGUCGCUAGUAAUCGCAGAUCAGCAACGCUGCGGUGAAUACGUUCCCGGGGCUUGUACACACCGCCCGUCAAGUCAUGAAAGUUGGUAACACCCGAAGCCGGUGGCCUAACCGUUGUGGGGGAGCCGUCGAAGGUGGGACUGGUGAUUAGGACUAAGUCGUAACAAGGUAACC